UGAGGAAUAUUGGUCAAUGGGCGCAAGCCUGAACCAGCCAUCCCGCGUGCAGGAAGACGGCCCUAUGGGUUGUAAACUGCUUUUCCAGGGGGAGAAUUUUUCUGUCGUGACAGGAAUUGACGGUACCCUGGGAAUAAGCAUCGGCUAACUCCGUGCCAGCAGCCGCGGUAAUACGGAGGAUGCGAGCGUUAUCCGGAUUUAUUGGGUUUAAAGGGUGCGUAGGCGGACUGAUAAGUCAGUGGUGAAAACCUGCAGCUUAACUGUAGACUUGCCGUUGAUACUGUCAGUCUUGAGUGUGGUCAAGGUAGGCGGAAUGUGUAAUGUAGCGGUGAAAUGCUUAGAUAUUACACGGAACACCGAUUGCGAAGGCAGCUUACUGGGCCAUUACUGACGCUGAGGCACGAAAGCGUGGGGAUCGAACAG
rnacentral:rRNA from 1 species